GGUACUCUCGGGCUCUCCUUCCCCUAUAGAUGGAGGUUUACCUGCAUGGACUCUCGGGCUCUCCUUCCCCUAUAGAUGGAGGUUUACCUGCAUGGACUCUCGGGCUCUCCUUCCCCUAUAGAUGGAGGUUUACCUGCAUGGACUCUCGGGCUCUCCUUCCCCUAUAGAUGGAGGUUUACCUGCAUGGACUCUCGGGCUCUCCUUCCCCUAUAGAUGGAGGUUUACCUGCGUGGACUCUCGGGCUCUCCUUCUCCAGCAGACUUUUUCUUGUUCCUGUUGGUGCACUUGUACUAAAUGAACCUAUAUGAGUACACACUGUAAAGUGUGAAAUAUUGAAAUAGACUCUGCAGACAGGUUUUCUUUUCAUUUUUGUUUUUUGUGACAGGAUUUCUCUCUGUAGCCCUUGCUUUCUUUGAACUCACUCUGUAGAUCAGGCUGUCCUUGGACUCAUAGAUCUGCCUAUUUCUGUCUCCCAAGUGCUGGACUUAAGGCAUUUGCCACCACUGCUGACUUGUAGACAGAUUUUCAAAGACAAAGCAAUCCGUUAUGAACUUGAAUUUUGAAUAUUAGAGAUUGACAGUCAAACAGCAAUCUUUUCUGUUUUGUUAGGGAGCUCCACCAAACAAGAAUAUUUUUGCCUGUCAUGUCUCCUAAGACAUUAUUAUUUUUGGUCUACUUUUCAGUCAUGUGAGGAUCUAAUGUCAUUUGUAAUAUUUUGUGAACUUUGGGUAUAUGUUUCUGACUUUUGAGGUGCUUUCUUGCAAAUUGCCUGCUAAGUGUUAUAGGGUAUGCUUAAACAGAUCCUAAUUUAAAGAUUAUUAUUGAUGAGCAGUGCACAGCAGAGUGUGUCCUUCAUGCCAGAACUCUGUAGCUCUCUAGAUGCGGUGGAGCUCAGUACAGUCCAUGACACCCAGUUAGAAACUAAAAGUCAUGGGGGACAGGAUGGUACAGCUUACAGCACAGUGAGAUAACAGUGC